rnacentral:tRNA from 23 species
CUUCCCUUGGUGUAAUGGAUAACACGACUGAGUCCUAAUCAGUAAAUGGAGGUUCGAUUCCUCUAGGGAAGGCCA